rnacentral:misc_RNA from 1 species
UUUCCGUAGGUGAACCUGCGGAAGGAUCAUUCAUAAUAAAGUGUUUUACGGCACUUUUUAAAAAUCCAUAUCCACCUUGUGUGCAAUGUUAGAUCUCGUCAAUCUUGGCGAGAUUUUUAUACAUCAACUCAUUCUUUAACUAAUUUGUCUGAAAAAUAUUAUGAAUACUUAAUUCAAAAUGCAACUUUCAACAACGGAUCUCUUGGCUCUC